rnacentral:lncRNA from 1 species
AGGAACCAUCUUCAUUAUCUCCUUCUUCUUCGGAAUCAAAGGCUUCAACAUUCUUCCUCUUAGAAGAAGAUACGCUUAAAAUUUGCUCCUAUGCAAAGCUAACAGAAAGCCCAGUAGAAGGAACACAAGUGCGGCUAAUACCACAAAUGGAAAACCCUAGAAACAAAAAAAAAACAAAAGGUAUUAAAGGAAAGGAAAAAGAAUAAAGGGAAAGAAAACCAUGGUAAUAAAAAAUAACAUCGCGAGUCUUCACUUUCCAUCCAAAUUUUUAAGAAAGAAAUAUCCAUGAUCUCUGGUCCAUGGGAGCCACAGUCAAUAUUUUUUCUAUCCAGUCACAGAAGACUGGGAUUUCUCUGAAAACUUCCAUGAUUGCUAAAAUACAAACAUAAAUGUAUGCGAGAAAAAUUGAAACAUUGAGAGAAACCAGGAAAUAAAGAAAAUUAGGCGUAAAGUUCCACUUCUCAGGGAAGAGCACAUUAUCAUCACGCACUAAGUCAUGAGUUGGAACAGUUACAAACUGGGUAUACUAACCACGAUCAUAGUCAUCCUCGAGGCUGACCAAAACUCUCUUGCUUCUUUCCACAAGAGAGAAAAACACCCUUGCGAAAGAGCUUUGGGAGUAUAAAUGGAGUAAGUGACGAAAAUUUAGAAGGAACCGAAACCAAAUUUGACGAAUAAUGAAGGCAAGAUACUGUCCUCAACAUGAUCAAACCUAUUUGGCCAAGGCAAACAUUGAAGUAACGGCAAAAUUCAAUGAUUAUUGGGUCAAUAGGAGGGUUGAAUCCUAAAGUAAAAGGGUAGGCACAAACAAAAAAAAUAACAUUCACGAUAAGAGGUAAUUUUAUCAUAAGCACUAAGGGUCACCACUAAGAAAUUUGGUUCCCAAUUGUAUUUACGACGAACUAAUGGAAUGAGACCAGAAGUGAUCAUACUAGGGCUAAUGAUCAGCAUGGUUAAGUGAUGCUAUAGAAGAGACUUGUUUUCUCAUACAUUCACAAUCUGGUAUGAAAGAAAAUUCCUGAGGAACAAUCUCAGACACAGUGGGUUCUCACAUAGGUUCAUUGUGAUCUUUCCCUCUAGAGAAAGAUCUAGGGAUAGUGGAAGUUCUAGCUCUAGAGUGGGAAUGUUGGCAGUAUUCCUUUAAGAAAGGGUAGAACUAUGGUUAGAUAAAAAGCUUGAGCUACGAAGUCUGCCACCUUUUAUACUUCUAGUUGGGGCAGAAGAGGGGGACGUUCAUCAACAAUCACUACUUUACGAGAAUUCAAUGAUGAAGAAGGGUUUGAAGAACGGGAAAUAUCUCUAAUGGUGAAAACACAGAAAGAGGGACAACUAAAAGAAGAGUUAGAAUAUGAAUGCAAGAGAGAAGAAGACGUUUUCAAAGUUGAUUAUUAUACGAUAUUCAUAGGGAAAAAACCAUCAUUAGAAACUGCCAUUAUGAACUAUCAUCAUGAAGUCGUCACUUUGCAACUGAUGCAGUCCUAGAAAACCCUAAAAAGGCACUAAAAAUUACAAAACCAAUAACAACGAGACACGUGUCCUGGGCAUUAAAUAUACGUGACAUACGUCUCAUCGUUUCUGAAGAAAGAAUUAUGAUAGUUGGGAAGAGGCGUCAAGACAUUGCCACCAUAAAUGAACUUACCACUUCCCAGAUAUUCAGUUGAGAGUAUUCAGAAAGUAGGGGGAACUAUCUGUAUUGUGGAAAAAAGGCAUGACACGUGGGCCAACAUCGAGGUGACAAGUAGCACGUAUCAGUAUGUCAAUAAAGAAAGACAGAAAGGCAAUAUAAAAUACCCACGAUGUUAGAGUAGGUACCCGAUCUAACAACUGAAAAAAGGAAAUAGGCAUGGGAUGCGUUAGGACCAUAAAAGGGGAAGAUUCAUGAAUCGGUUGUAAGUAAGAGAAGAAGAUGAAAUUCAGUUGCUUUUUGCAUUGUUAUUCAUUUUGGAGAGAUAAAGGGGUAUUUAUAAACCCCUCUAGGUAUCCGUUAGAAUAAACAGACCCAAUAGUUGUCUACAUGCACCUUUUAAAAUCAAUAGCCAUGUUUUUAAUAUAAAUAAAAUUAUUAAAAAUGUUUUAAUAAUUAAAUAAAUAUUGUUAAUUGAAUAGUAAAAAUAAUAGGUAACUAAGAAUAUUAAUUUUUGACCACUUAAUUUGUCCAAGUGGUCCAAGUGUCCAAUCUUGACUAUUAAUAUUAUAACUAAAUUUUAGUUUCCCUAAACACUUCUUCCUUUUUCUAUUUUUCCAAGGAGGGGUAAGUAUCUCCUCCUAAAGUUGACACAUCAACACUAACUAAUCUAGCAACGACAAUAACAAUAGCAAUAUGCCUAGUAAAAUCUCACACGUGUGGUUUGGAGAGGGCAAUAUGCACACAGACCCUACACCUAUCUUGUGAAGGUAGAUAGACUAUUUAUGAUAGACCUUCAAUUCAAGGGAAGCCUAAUCUCAGCAGUCAUAAGAAAAUAUGAUAGUGGAGAAGCAAUGAAAAAUGAAGCAGUAACAACAUUAAGAAAAAUAAGAUAUAACAGAAGCAAAAAUAACAGAUAGUAACUGAAAUAUGAAAAAAAGAAAAUACAGGAGUACCAACAAUAUUGUUGGUAUGGAGAUGAAAAACACGGGAUUACCUAUUAACCUACUAUCUUAUCCCUCGAUCUCCAUAACCUCCUAUUAAGGGUUAUGUCAUGCCUAAUCACAUCUUCCCGAUACCUUGUUCGCUUGCCUCUACCUCUCCUUCGUUCCAUCAUUACCAACCUCUCAAAGCUACUCAUGGAGAAUCUGUGGGUCUCCUCUUCACAUACUUCAACCACUUCAACUUCUAUUUUCGCAUCUUGUCCACCAUAGAGGUCAUUCUCCACCUUGUCCCGAAUGUCCUCAUUCCUAAUCAUAUCUCUCCUAGUAUUCUCACACAUCUAUUUCAGUAUCCUCUUUUAUGCUACUUCAUCUUUUGAACAUAAGAGUUCUUGUUAGGCCAAUACUCCGCCUCAUAUAAUAUAGUCGGUCGAACCACCACUCUAUAGAACUUACCUUUAAGUCUUGGUGGUGUCACACCUCCUUUUUCACUAUACACCCCCACAAAGGGGCGUAAAGGAGUUUUUCCACUUAAAGGACAAUCGGAACAGGAUUUAGUUUAUUAAUUAUUCAGAGUCGCCACUUGGGAGAUUAAUGGUGUCCCAAGUCACCGAUUUGAAUCCCGAACCGAGGAAAAAUAUGACUAUGUUACAGUCUGCGAACCAGAAAUCUGAGUAAGGAAUUCUGUUAACCCCGGAGAAGGUGUUAGGUAUUCCCGGGUUUCGUGGUUUUAGCAGGUCUCUUAACUAUUGUAUUUGGUUUUAUCUGAUUUUAUUACAUACUAACUUAUGUGCCUUUUAUUUAUAUACUGCUUUUACCAUUAUUUAUUUUAAAAGACUUGCGACGUCGUGAAAACACGUCUCUGACCACGUCACCAUUAAGGCACCCGUGGUUGUCAACACGUUUCGACUUCAUCGAGAUUUGGAUUUGGGUCACAUCAAUGCGCACCCGAGUUUAAGAAAGUAAUUUAAUUAAAUCGCACUUAAAGGUUCUAGCGUAAUAUUGUUUGGGANNNNNNNNNNNNNNNNNNNNNNNNNNNNNNNNNNNNNNNNNNNNNNNNNNNNNNNNNNNNNNNNNNNNNNNNNNNNNNNNNNNNNNNNNNNNNNNNNNNNNNNNNNNNNACCGUUGAAAUUCGCUAAACGACCCUUCCAAAUUCUAAUCAUUUUUAAUAACCAAUUAUUGAGGGCCCCACAAUUAUUCUUGUUCGGUGAGGCUCGUCUCCAUUUUUUAAACCAUAUUUAUCAUUAUUUGUUUUAUAAGAAUUGCAACAUCGUGAAAACGCGUUUAUAACCCCGUCGCCGUCAAGGCACCCGUGAUUAUUAAUGCAUUUCAACUUCGUCGAGAUUUGGAUUGGGGUUGCAUCAAUGCACACCCGAAUUUAGGAAAGUAAUUUAAUUAAAACGCGCCUAAAGAUUAUAUCGCAACAUUAUUUAGGGAAGGCCGUGAAAUUCGCUAAAAGACCAUCCCGAAUUCAAAAGAUUCUCAACCUUUAUUGAGGACCCCGCAAUUAUUUUUGUUUGGCGAGGCUCGUCUCAUUUUAUUUUAACAGGAUAAACCUAAGGGAUAACUAUAUUUUAUAUAUUUUUUUUAUUUUGUCUCUAAUAAAUAAAGAAAGAUCCUAAUUGAUUAUACUUAAAAUCAGGGCUUUAAGUUCAAGUUCGCGUCCAAACAAAAGGACGAACCUUUUAGUUUAAAACCCGCUACCUAACUCAAAACUCACAGCUGGCCAAAUAUCUAUAUUACGACAACGUCAUGUCCAGCUAUAACCCAUUCGAGUGACAUGCAAGUAAAUAACUAUAUGAAAAAAAAUCUCUAAACUUAAGAUAAUAACCGAAUAGAUCACAGUAUCAAAUCGUCACAUAACCAAUUAACAUUCAGCUAUAAUAAAACGAGUAGAAUCAAAUGCAAUGCCAUUAAGCCCAAUGCGCAAUAUACAGGGAAGGCCGAAUCUGAUUUUGAAGAAACUAUCCCUAUGUCAUCAAACUUUUACACUCAAUUUGCUGUAAAUUAUAAAGAAGAAUUAUCAAACAAAUAAAGGCAAUUACAUGCCUUUGUUGGCUGUUUCCUCCUCCAGAAAGUACACAUUGGAAAGAUCCCCAUGUAACAUUUUAAACACACGUAAAACAACAAUUCAAGCAGCUCAAUUACACGAAGUCAAAAUCAGCACUCCGUCGCUAGGAAUUUCUAAUUAUCCGAACAUUCUUUCAAUUAUAAAGGAACUUCACCCAGGUCAAAGAUCAUCUCAUUCAACUACAAAUAAUGGCUUUAGAAUGUGCAACUUCAGAUUCAGAAUAUGAACUAGAAAGAAUGAGAGAUGAAUCUUAGUUAAAUUAGACAAAAUUGAUUCACUCGACUAAAACCAUGUUUAAACAAAUUGGAGCCGUGGAAUCAGAAGCAGUAUGAAUCAAAAAACGGACCUCAAUGUCGACGUCAAUUCUGAUCAAUGACAGAACAUCCAGCAAAAUCUUAAACAAGCAAAUGAACCUACGAUCGGAGACCUCGGCAAGCGAACGGACUGACCGAACUUCGCCGGACGAACUUGAAUCUGACAGUAUCUCGGACGGAACCUCAAAUCGGCGGCAAAUCGGCCCUCUGACGACCUCUAAAUCAGCAAACUACAUCGGUAGCGAGACUCGAACACCACCGGAGAAAUCGAAAGGUUUGACUCCGAGUGGAUAGCGAUGUCGCAAAGAACUCGAAACAAACAGACCUCUCAAACGAACACCAUCAUUUAGGAAUCAAAAUUCAAACCGAAGAUGCAAAGCAAAAUUUCUGUUUUUCUACCCUUUUUUUUAAUGCAAACGCUGAACUGAAGUGCGUCAAUAGAAACCCAUUUCUGUAUGUAUUUUGCCUUCUAAAUUCUUAAUGAAAGUAGAAAAUUCAGAGAAGAAGCUAUUUCUAUGUGUGUCCUCAGAAUGAAGAUGAAGCAGAAUUUUUUAUCCUCCCUCCUCUCUAACGGAGAUUGACGUAUUUUGAAGGAAAACGUGAGGGGGGAGGCCCCCCCACAAUUGCACUGUUUUUGUAUUUUUCAGUGUCUCUUUUUUUUGCAAUUGUUUUCGUCCGUUUUCCCUUUUGUAAUUUUCUU